rnacentral:rRNA from 1 species
UACGAGGGGGGCAAGCGUUGUUCGGAAUUAUUGGGCGUAAAGGGUGCGUAGGCGGUUUGGUAAGUCUUAUGUGAAAUCUACAGGCUCAACUUGUAGUCUGCAUGAGAAACUGCCGGGCUUGAGUAUGGGAGAGGUGAGUGGAAUUCCUGGUGUAGCGGUGAAAUGCGUAGAUAUCAGGAGGAACACCUGUGGCGAAAGCGGCUCACUGGACCAUAACUGACGCUGAUGCACGAAAGCGUGGGGAGCGAACAGG